GGCGAACGGGUGAGUAAUGCAUCGGAACAUGUCCAUGUCGUGGGGGAUAGCCCGGCGAAAGCCGGAUUAAUACCGCAUAAGCCCUGAGGGGGAAAGUGGGGGACCGCAAGGCCUCACGCGAUUGGGUUGGCCGAUGUCCGAUUAGCUAGUUGGUGAGGUAAAGGCUUACCAAGGCGAUGAUCGGUAGCUGGUCUGAGAGGAUGAUCAGCCACACUGGGACUGAGACACGGCCCAGACUCCAUACGGGAGGCAGCAGUGGGGAAUUUUGGACAAUGGGGGCAACCCUGAUCCAGCCAUUCCGCGUGAGUGAAGAAGGCCUUCGGGUUGUAAAGCUCUUUUGUCCGGAGCGAAAAGGUUACGGUGAAUAUCCGUGACUACUGACGGUACCGGAAGAAUAAGCACCGGCUAACUACGUGCCAGCAGCCGCGG
rnacentral:rRNA from 1 species